GCGAGAGUGGCGGAAUUGGCAGACGCGCCAGAUUCAGGUUCUGGUGGGAGCAAUCUUGUGCAGGUUCAAGUCCUGUCUCUCGCACCA
rnacentral:tRNA from 1 species